rnacentral:rRNA from 1 species
AUUGAACGCUGGCGGCAGGCUUAACACAUGCAAGUCGAGCGAGCGGAGGACGGGUGAGUAAUGUCUGGGAAACUGCCUGAUGGAGGGGGAUAACUACUGGAAACGGUAGCUAAUACGGCAUACCAUAGGAUGUGCCCAGAUGGGAUGAGCUAGUAGGUGGGGUAAAGGCUAACCUAGGCGACGAUCCCUAGCUGGUCUGAGAGGAUGACCAGCCACACGUGAACUGAGACAAUGUCCAGACGCAUAAGGGAGGCAGCAGUGGGGAAGGUUGCACAAUUGGCGAAAGCCUGAUGCAGCGAUGCCGCGUGUAUGAAGAAGGCCUUCGGGUUGUAAAGUACUGUCAGCGGGGAGGCGUUACCCGCUAAAGGAGCACCGGCUAACUCCGUGCCAGCAGCCGCGGUAAUUC